AUGUCGGUGGUGCGUUCAACAUACGUAAGCUGAGUGGAACNCCAAAAAGCUUGCUCCUGAACUGCCGAGUGGUGGNUGGGUGAGUAAUAUCUGGGAAUUUGCCUCGCAGAUGGGGAUAACAGCUGGAAACGGGCGCUAAUACCGCAUAAUAUCGAAGGUUGAACGGGGGGGACCUUCGGGCCUGCUGUCAUAGGAUGGGCCUAGGUGGGAUUAGCUAGCCGGUGAGGUAAUGGUUCAUUAAGGCGAUGAUCCCCAGCUGAUCUGANAGGAUGACCAGCCAUACUGGGACUGAGACACGGNCCAGACUCCCACGGGAGGCAGCAGUGGGGAAUNUUGCACAACGGGUGAAAGCNUGAUGCAGCAAUGCCGNNCGUAUNAAGAAGGCCCUCGGGCUGUAAAAUACUUUCACCAGGGAAGAAUGAGCUUGUAGUAAUACGGUGGCUUCCUGACGUUACUCACUGAAGAAGCAACGGUUAACUNCGUGCCUGCAGCGCCGGUACUACGAGGCGUGCAAGCGUUNCUUGGAAUUNCUGGGUUUAAAGCGUUCGCUNGCGGUCCGUUNAGCCCGCNGUGAAAUCCCNNGGCUCAACCUGCGAACGGCACCGGAAACUGGCAAUNUCGAGUCUAGUAAANGNUUUUNNNCCCCNCCCGGAAUGGNGGGGGGGUUUUUNAUUUUUGGGGUAAGNNGCCAGCGGUUUUNUCAAUUUNAAANCCCGGCCCNCCUGGAUGNUUUUUUUCNUGCANGUAAGUUUGUNAGGGGGAGAUUCCNGUUGACCGUUAAAUGCGUANAGUUUGGAGGAAUCCGGUGCGANGGNGCCCCCUGGNCGAUNCUNCGNUCAGGCNCGAAGGUGGGGAGCAAACAGGAUUAGAUNCCCUGGUAGUCCNCNCCGUNACCGAUGUCUACUCGGAGUUUGGCGUCUAGAACGUGGGCUCUCAAGCUAACGCAUUAAGUAGCCCGCUGGGGAGUACGGCCGCAAGGUUAANACUCNAAUGAAUUGACGGGGGCCGCACAACCGGUGGAGCAUGUGGUUUAAUUCGAUGCAACGCGAAGAACCUUACCUACUCUUGACAUCCAGAGAAUUUUCCAGAGAUGGAUUAGUGCCUUCGGGAACUCUGAGGCAGGUGCUGCAUGGCUGUCGUCAGCUCGUGUUGUGAAAUGUUGGGUUAAGUCCCGCAACGAGCGCAACCCUUAUCCUUACUUGCCAGCGGGUGAUGCCGGGAACUGUAGGGAGACUGCCGGUGAUAAACCGGAGGAAGGUGGGNACGACGNCCNGUCAUCAUGGCCCUUUCGAGU
rnacentral:rRNA from 1 species